GCAAGAGGGGACGGGUGGAGCCGAGGUUCAGGUGAGCACGAGGAAGAGGUGUAGCAAGCAGGUGAGUGACAAAAGAAUUGGCAAUGGUUUACCAGCAGCAGGUGACCAAGGUCCAGGGAAGCAGGGAUGACUGAGGCAAGAACCCCACUCCAGAAGCCGGCUAUGAAGACAGGAAAAAACAGGUGGCCGGCCAGAGAGGAGCAACCAGUCUCCACCCAGAGGAGGGCUGCUGCUGGAUAACUACAGACACUCCACAUCUGGGAGAAGAGCCGAAUGAAGAUGGAGAAAAAUGCUGCAGCCCGCUGAUAGCAGACCUUCAGUCAGAGAGGAUGGAGCUGUGAUGUUUCUAUCAGCAGACAAGCGAAUGAACGAACUUCCAGCUGAGCCUCUGAAGCCCCGUCAGCUGCCUCCCUCCUCUUCCUCCUGACCCUAUCCUCUGUCAGCCCUUUCUGUUGUCUCACAUUAUCCCCCCGUGCCACUCUGUGACUCUUUUCUUCUCUUUCGUAAAUGGUUAAAGUCACUCCUAGAAUAUGUUAUGUUCCUUUAUCGUCUCCGUUGACGCUUUCAUCACAGCUGUGAAACGCUUUCGUGUGAAAACAGCAGAGUCCCAUUAAUCAUUUCAGUCGACUGUCCAGUUCUGGUAUCAGUGUUUGAAUGUUUGAUGAGGUUUGGACUGCUGGAGGAUGUUCGGGUGGAGUCCAGUGGGAGUCGGUCCAGCUGCUGCUGCUGUUCAACAGCCUGAAGCUGUUUGCCUGAUCAUUAGUUCGCCUGAUGUUACUACUCAAACAGACCUUUUUUCUUUUUUCUUUUUUUUUUUUACACCGUAGUUUGGAAAUAUUAGAGCAUAUAAAUACAGAAUAUGUAUGAGCGACCCGAGGAGCAAUGAUUUCAACGGAUGUAAGCCUUUACAGUACCUCUGUUAUUUUUUUUACUUGCAUAUAUGCUUAUUUCCUUGAAAUCAUGCUAAGCUAAACAUGGACUCCAUCUGAAGUCCACUUGUUGUCAUAUUGAUAUGACUAAUUACAUUUUUCGCAGGCUUUGGUUGUGGCACAUAAACAGGAAACUGUGUGGGGAGCAAAGGAAAAGUAUUUGCAGAAAAGUGCCACGCAUCAGUUCAAAUUGUGUUCAAACGGGGAACGUAAAAUGUCAUAUACAUUAUUUUACAAAAAUACACAUUACAUGUACUUUAGUCAAAUCUUUCAGAGAUGUCUGCUGGCUACCUGAAACAUAUUUAAUACUUCUAUAGGAUGCUAAAAGUGACAACAUAGAGGAAACUUAAUGUCUUGUUUUGACAAAUUGCAGUAAUAUAUUCUCUUUUUUUAAAAAUAAAUAAAAAAGGUGAUAGCAGGGCUUAGAUUUCUCUGGCACUGUGAUGAAAUCUGAUGGCAGAUAGUUAUGUGCAUAGCAAAUAGUCUUCCUCAUUUUUUUCUAGCUGUCACAUAACUAGAAAAUGGCUGCAUGUAUUAAGCCAGACCUCCCUUAUGUCUUAGUCUGAUGUAUUUUAGACUAACAUACAAAGUAUAUGUGAAAAAUUUUAUCUUUAAGAUCCACUUAGUGAAAUAAACUUGUAUUACUAAAAAUAAAAGCCCGUGUUGUAUAUUAACAACAUUGUUUAAAUGUUGUUAAGAAGCAUAAUAAACCUGCAAGCUUUUUAAAUACGUGCUGUAAUACAUAUGCAGUUAUGCACACCAUGUCUUAUUUUUGUGACAGCGAUUUAAUUUAAUGGGUGAACCCUCAAAAGGGUUAAGAUGGUAGAAACAUGGACAAGAAGUGCUGUGUGAGAAGGUGGACGUCACAGAUGAAGGAAGAAAGAA